rnacentral:misc_RNA from 1 species
GAUGAAGAACUUAGCGAAAUGCGAUAAUUAAUGUGAAUUGCAGAAUUCAGUGAAUCAUCGAGUCUUUGAACGCACAUUGCGCCCCCUGGUAUUCCGGGGGGCAUGCCUGUCCGAGCGUCAUUGCUGCCCUCAAGCCCGGCUUGUGUGUUGGGCCUUGCUCCCCCGGGGGCAGGCCCGAAAGGCAGUGGCGGCACCGCGUCCGAUCCUCGAGCGUAUGGGGCUUUGUCACCCGCUCUGUAGGCCCGGCCGGCGCUUGCCGACCCCAAUCAAUCUUUUUUCAGGUUGACCUCGGAUCAGGUAGGGAUACCCGCUGAACUUAAGCAUAUCAAUAAGCGGAGGA